GUGAGGAAUAUUGGUCAAUGGGCGGAAGCCUGAACCAGCCAUCCCGCGUGCAGGAAGACAGCCCUAUGGGUUGUAAACUGCUUUUCCAGUGGGCGAAACACUCGUACGUGUACGAGAUUGACGGUACACUGGGAAUAAGCAUCGGCUAACUCCGUGCCAGCAGCCGCGGUAAUACGGAGGAUGCAAGCGUUAUCCGGAUUUAUUGGGUUUAAAGGGUGCGUAGGCGGAUGAAUAAGUCAGUGGUGAAAGGCUGCAGCUUAACUGUAGACUUGCCGUUGAUACUGUUUAUCUUGAGUAUGGUCAAGGCAGGCGGAAUGUGUAAUGUAGCGGUGAAAUGCUUAGAUAUUACACAGAACACCGAUUGCGAAGGCAGCUUGCUGGGCCAUUACUGACGCUGAUGCACGAAAGCGUGGGGAGCGAACAGGAUUAGAAACCCCAGUAGUCC
rnacentral:rRNA from 1 species